rnacentral:misc_RNA from 1 species
CAGAAAUAAACUUGGUGGGUUGUCGCUGGCCCCUUGGGGUAACGUGCACGCUCGUCAUUUUUAUCUUUCCACCUGUGCACCCUAUGUAGGAUCGCUCGUAUGGGGGGCGCUAGCUCUCCGUUGGUAGCGAAGCCCUACGUUUCUUAUCUUACCACAUGAAUGUCGUCGAACGCAUAGACAUAGGCUGAGCCUAUAAUAAUCUAUA